AGCGAACGCUGGCGGCAGGCCUAACACAUGCAAGUCGAACGAACCCUUCGGGGUUAGUGGCGGACGGGUGAGUAACACGUGGGAACGUGCCUUUAGGUUCGGAAUAACUCAGGGAAACUUGUGCUAAUACCGAAUGAGCCCUUCGGGGGAAAGAUUUAUCGCCUUUAGAGCGGCCCGCGUCUGAUUAGCUAGUUGGUGAGGUAAUGGCUCACCAAGGCUACGAUCAGUAGCUGGUCUGAGAGGAUGACCAGCCACAUUGGGACUGAGACACGGCCCAAACUCCUACGGGAGGCAGCAGUGGGGAAUCUUGCGCAAUGGGCGAAAGCCUGACGCAGCCGUGCCGCGUGGAUGAUGAAGGUCUUAGGAUUGUAAAAUCCUUUCACCGGUGAAGAUAAUGACUGUAGCCGGAGAAGAAGCCCCGGCUAACUUCGUGCCAGCAGCCGCGGUAAUAC
rnacentral:rRNA from 1 species